UUUCCGCCGGAAAGAGAGUGGAUUUACUAGAAAGGUGGGACAUUGGAGGGGCGGUAGCGUGGAGUUAAGUCCGGUCUCUGGCCACCCAGCGGAGCCGGUGACAGCAGCGUCCUGGUAGGCAGGCAGGCGUAUCAGAUUUCAGAGGAUGCAGCAGGGAAGGGGGGUAGAGGUGAGGGGUCGUUGCAUCUGUCGCUGUGUGUAUCUUUUGGGGGUUCAGCGCCACCAGCGAUCCGGGCCUCGUUCAUUGCGCUUACAUUUCUCCACCUCAUUUGAAGAACGAGCUUGGUAUCCGACGGAGCUGAGGUAUAUGAGCUCCCUGAAAGCACGAAGCAGUUAUUUCCAUCUUCACAUCAUUCAGAGAUUAUGAAGGCACAAACCCUGCCUUCAAUUUGCUUACAGUCAAGUGGAGCAGACACAAGUCAAUGAUUGCAGUAUAGCUACUUAAGUAAUCUAAAAGAGACUUAUCAGCAUGUUGCAGGUGAACAUGGCCUUGAGGUAAAUCCUGUCCCUUGUUGAAUACAGUUUCAGUAGAUUGUUUAUAGUAGUUUAAGGAAUUGGAAUUUUUUUACAAAAACACAGAAGUUUUGUUUGGUUCUGUUCUAGAUGUUUUUCUUCUAAAUAAAUGAGAAAGAUGUUUCAACAAAGGCUCUUUAUGCUGAAUAAUUGUGAUGCUUGAAGUUCCUAAUCUGCUUUAAGUGGAUUUGUCUGACAUUUGGUGUAAAUGUCAGACAAUUCCAGACAGUUUUUUCUUGGUCAAAUAAAAAUUUAAUUAAAACUUUA